UACGUAGGGUGCGAGCGUUGUCCGGAAUUACUGGGCGUAAAGGGCUCGUAGGCGGCCAACUAAGUCAGACGUGAAAUCCCUCGGCUUAACCGGGGAACUGCGUCUGAUACUGGAUGGCUUGAGUUUGGGAGAGGGAUGCGGAAUUCCAGGUGUAGCGGUGAAAUGCGUAGAUAUCUGGAGGAACACCGGUGGCGAAGGCGGCAUCCUGGACCAACACUGACGCUGAGUGAGCGAAAGCCAGGGGAGCAAAGCGGG
rnacentral:rRNA from 1 species